rnacentral:rRNA from 1 species
UCGGGUUGUAAAGCACUUUUGUCCGGAAAGAAAACUUCUGCCCUAAUACGGCGGGAGGAUGACGGUACCGGAAGAAUAAGCACCGGCUAACUACGUGCCAGCAGCGCGGUAAUCGUAGGGUGCGAGCGUUAAUCGGAAUUACUGGGCGUAAAGCGUGCGCAGGCGGUUCGUUAAGACAGAUGUGAAAUCCCCGGGCUUAACCUGGGAACUGCAUUUGUGACUGGCGAGCUAGAGUAUGGCAGAGGGGGGUAGAAUUCCACGUGUAGCAGUGAAAUGCGUAGAGAUGUGGAGGAAUACCGAUGGCGAAGGCAGCCCCCUGGGCCAAUACUGACGCUCAUGCACGAAAGCGUGGGGAGCAAACAAGAUUAGAUACCCUGGUAGUCCACGCCCUAAACGAUGUCAACUAGUUGUUGGGUCUUCAUUGACUUAGUAACGUAGCUAACGCGUGAAGUUGACCGCCUGGGGAGUACGGUCGCAAGAUUAAAACUCAAAGGAAUUGACGGGGACCCGCACAAGCGGUGGAUGAUGUGGAUUAAUUCGAUGCAACGCGAAAAACCUUACCUACCCUUGACAUGGUCGGAACCCUGCUG